UACGGGGGGGGCAAGCGUUGUUCGGAAUUACUGGGCGUAAAGGGCUCGUAGGCGGCCAACUAAGUCAGACGUGAAAUCCCUCGGCUUAACCGGGGAACUGCGUCUGAUACUGGAUGGCUUGAGAUUGGGAGAGGGAUGCGGAAUUCCAGGUGUAGCGGUGAAAUGCGUAGAUAUCUGGAGGAACACCGGUGGCGAAGGCGGCAUCCUGGACCAACACUGACGCUGAGGGAGCGAAAGCGUGGGGAGCGAACAGG
rnacentral:rRNA from 1 species